UGGGGAAUAUUGGACAAUGGGCGCAAGCCUGAUCCAGCCAUGCCGCGUGUGUGAAGAAGGCCUUCGGGUUGUAAAGCACUUUUGUCCGGAAAGAAAUCCUGUCGGCUAAUACCCGGCGGGGAUGACGGUACCGGAAGAAUAAGCACCGGCUAACUUCGUGCCAGCAGCCGCGGUAAUACGAAGGGUGCAAGCGUUACUCGGAAUUACUGGGCGUAAAGCGUGCGUAGGUGGUUUGUUAAGUCUGAUGUGAAAGCCCUGGGCUCAACCUGGGAACUGCAUUGGAUACUGGCUUACUAGAGUGCGGUAGAGGGUGGCGGAAUUCCCGGUGUAGCAGUGAAAUGCGUAGAUAUCGGGAGGAACAUCCGUGGCGAAGGCGGCCACCUGGACCAGCACUGACACUGAGGCACGAAAGCGUGGGGAGCAAACAGGAUUAGAUACCCUGGUAGUCCACGCCCUAAACGAUGCGAACUGGAUGUUGGGAGCAACUAGGCUCUCAGUAUCGAAGCUAACGCGUUAAGUUCGCCGCCUGGGAAGUACGGUCGCAAGACUGAAACUCAAAUGAAUUGACGGGGUCAUAGC
rnacentral:rRNA from 1 species